rnacentral:rRNA from 1 species
CAGCAGCCACGGUAAUACGGAGGGUGCGAGCGUUAAUCGGAAUUACUGGGCGUAAAGCGUGCGCAGGCGGUUAUAUAAGACAGAUGUGAAAUCCCCGGGCUCAACCUGGGACCUGCAUUUGUGACUGUAUAGCUAGAGUACGGUAGAGGGGGAUGGAAUUCCGCGUGUAGCAGUGAAAUGCGUAGAUAUGCGGAGGAACACCGAUGGCGAAGGCAAUCCCCUGGACCUGUACUGACGCUCAUGCACGAAAGCGUGGGGAGCAAACAGGAUUAGAUACCCCUGUAGUCCCUGUCUCUUAUAC